rnacentral:rRNA from 1 species
AGAAUCAACGCUGGCGGCGUGCCUAACACAUGCAAGUCGAACGCGAAAGCCCCGCAAGGGGUGAGUAGAGUGGCAAACGGGUGAGUAACACGUGGGUGACCUGCCUUCGAGUGGGGGAUAACGUCCCGAAAGGGACGCUAAUACCGCAUAACAUGCUGUCUUUGAACAGAGGGACAUCAAAGCUGGGGACCGCAAGGCCUGGCGCUUGAAGAGGGGCCCGCGCCUGAUUAGCUAGUUGGUGGGGUAAUGGCUCACCAAGGCGACGAUCAGUAUCCGGCCUGAGAGGGCGGACGGGACACGACUGGGACUGAGACACGGCCCAGACUCCUACGGGAGGCAGCAGUCGGGAAUUUUGCGCAAUGGACGAAAGUCUGACGCAGCAACGCCGCGUGAGGGAUGACGGCCUUCGGGUUGUAAACCUCUUUUUUUCUAGGGUACGAUAAUGACGGUACCUGACGAAUAAGUCACGGCUAACUACGUGCCAGCAGCCGC